UUGUCCCCGUAUGUUGAAUUCGAAUUGGCUCACGAGAUAGUUUCCGAUGCCUGGAGAAAUCUGGUGAGCCAAUUCGGAUCCAUCAUAUGAGGCAA